UUUGCUUCAAACAGAACAGGUAGAUAAAGCUGGAAUUUAGAAACCCACAAAGAGUUCUUUGCUAUGUCUGACUACCUUUGGUAUGAAGGAAUACCUUUUCCUACUUUAGGAUAUGAUAGAGAAACACUUGAAAAUUGUGAUAAGUUUGUGAUAAGAGAUGAAGAUACAGUCAUACUGACUUACCCCAAAUCAGGAACAAAUUGGAUGAUUGAAAUGAUCUCCUUGAUUCAGACCAAGGGGAAUCCCAAAUGGAUUCAAUCUGUUCCCAUUUGGGAACGCUCACCCUGGAUAGAGACGUCAUAUGGAUAUGAAUUAUUAAUCAAUAAGGAAGGACCACGCCUCAUCAGCUCCCACCUUCCCUUCCAUCUUUUCCCCAAGUCCUUUUUCAGUUCCAAGGCCAAGGUGAUCUUUGUCAUCAGAAAUCCUAGAGAUGCUUUUGUGUCUAGUUAUUUUUUCUUUCAUAAGACAAAACUUGCUAAGAAUCCAGAGUUAUUUGGAGCUUAUUUUGAACGGUUCCUCAAAGGAAAUGUGGUAUAUGGAUCAUGGUUUGAACACACCCGUGACUGGUUGUCCAUGAGAGAAAGGGAUAAUUUCCUGCUAGUGAGCUAUGAAGAGAUGAAAAAGGAUACAAGGAAAACCAUAGAGAAGAUCUGUGACUUCCUAGGAAAGAAAUUAGAGACAGAAGAGCUGGAUCUGGUCCUCAAGCACAGCUCCUUCCAAGCCAUGAAUGAAAAUAACAUGUCCAAUCAUAGUCUCAUCCCAGAAGAUGUGGUUACUAAUGGUUUGAAACUGUUGAGAAAAGGAGGAAAAGGGCCCAAAGAUCACAAGAAUGAGAACCAAAAUAAACAUCAAAAACCAAAUAGAUACCUAAUAGAAGAUAAAGUUGGAAGUAGCCUUGAACACAUUGGCACAGGAGACUACUUUCUGAAUAAAACAGCAGUAUCAGACACUGAGUUAGACAAUUAAUGAAUGGAACCUCCUGAAACUGAGAAGCUUCUGUAAGGCAAAGAACUCAGUCAACACAACAAAACAGCAAUCUACAGAAUGCGAAAAAAUCUCCAUCAACCCCUCUUCUGACAGAGGGCUGAUCUUCAAAAUAUAAAAGAAUGCAAGUAACUAGAUACCAAAAUAUCAAAUAAUCUAAUUACAAAAUGGGCUACAGAUUUAAACAGAGAACUCUCAACAAAGGAAUCUCUAACAAACAAAAGACACAACCUUCAUCCAGUAACUGAUGGAAACAGAUGCAGAAAUCCAUAGCUAAGCACUUGGUUGAACUCCUGGAAUCCAGUCACAGAGAAGAGGAGUGAUAUUAUGAACAAAGGGGUCAAGACCAUGAUGGGGACACCCACAGAAACAUCUAACAUGAACUCAUUGACCCUGGAUUGGCAGCUGUGGAAUAAGCAUAAAACUGAACUAGGACCUCUGAAUGUGGGUGACAGUUGUGUGCAUGAUCUGUCUCUUUGGAGCCCAUUCCCUUGGAUGGAUAUCUUGUUCAGCCUAGAUACUGGGGGGAGUGCAUGAUUCUACCUCAAGUGAAGUGGCAGACUUUAUUGACUACCCAUGGGAGGCCUCACUCUCUCUGAGGAGUAGAUGGUAGGUGGGGUGUGGUGGGGAGAAGAUGUGAGGAAUGGGAAGAUGGGAAGGAGAGUGAACUGGAAGUGGUAUGUAAAAUAGUAAGAUUUUAUAUACCAUUCCCAGUGGUUUCACUGGUCUCACUGCAUUUUAAUAUACCAUGGCUUACUGGAAUCCAUGGGGUAGCCACAAUUUCUGAAGAUAAACAAUGGAAAAAGAAUGAAUUGGGGGUUGGGAGAUAGAGAAGGGGGGGGAGCUGGAAAGAGAGAGGAAGCUUUGGGUGGGAUGUAAAACCAUGACAUGAAUAAAAUAUAAUAAUAAAUAUGAAAACAAAAAAUAAAUAGACAAAAAGCAUAAGUGAAGCAAAAUAACUGCCACAUAUAUGCAGAGAAGCUCUGUCAGUCCCAUGCAGGCUCCCUGAAUGUUAGGUCAGUCUCUGUGGGCUCCUAUCAGCUCAGGGUAGUUGUUUUUGUGGAUGUUUUUAUGACCUCCUUGAGCUUUCUGGAUCCUACAUUCCUUCCAUUCUCUCUCCAGGAUUCACUGAACACAGCCUAAUGUCUGACUAUGGGUCCCUUCCUCUAUUCAGGAAUUCCUUUUUUAAAAAAUUUCCAACUGCAACAAAAAAACUAAUAAUUUAAAUGUACCAUGACUUCAUGAUCUGUUCCUCAGUUGAUAAGUUUUUAGGAUGCUUACAAUUUCCAACUGUUAUAAAUAGAGCAAAAAUGAAAAUGAUGAACAAGUAUUUGUGUAGUAAAAUGUAGAAUGCUUUGGGUAUGUGCCCAAGAGUACUAUAGCAGGACCUUGAAGUAGAUAAUUCACAACUUCAUGAGAAAUUGCCACACUGGUUUACAUAGAGGUACUUUUUUUUACUCCAGAUCUUUGGUUAUGUCAAGAUUGCCCCAAUAUCUAAUUCCUGAGGUUUUAUUAAUACUAGAACAAUUUAGAUAAAUGUUUCACAUAUAUGUAUAAAUAUAUAUUUGUACUUAUUAUGUAUUUAUACAUAUUUAUAGUCAUAUUUAUAUAUUUUAUAUAUAUUUAUACACAUAAGAAACAUUUAUCUAAAUUGUUCUAGUACAUAUGAAACAUUUCUCUAAUAAUAUAUUUGAAACUUGUAUUUAAAUUGUUCUAGUAUAUAUGAAACAUUUUUCACUUAUUUGAAUUUUCAUGUGUGUGUGUAAAUAUCAAUUGCUCAGUCUAUAUACUGUUAUUUGUAUGUAUGUUUUUAGGGCUGACCAUAUUGGUAUUGGACAACCAAUUAGUGAGAUUGUCCCUGAGGAAGUCUUUCUUCCAUUCUCAUGAUUCCUUCUGUAUUUUACUGGACCACUUUAUAUCAAAUUGACACAAGCUAGAAUCAAUUGAAAGGAAGAAAACUCAUUUGAGAAAAUGUCUUGAAAAGAUUCAGCUGCAGAUCUCUUUAUUAUUUAUGGAAUAAUGGUGGAGGUUACACUACUUAAUGGCUGGUUUACUGCCACUGUUUGUGGUCCUCAGUUGUAUGAGAAUGUAGGCUCAGUGAGUUGUUAUGGGCAAAUCAGUAAAAAGCAUUACUUUAUGACCUCUGGAUCAUCUCCUGCCUCCAGGCUCUGGUCCUGUCUUAGUUCUUAUACUGACUUCUUUCACUGAUGAACAGUGAUAGUGAAGCAUAAGUCAAAUAAAUCCCUUCCCCAUCUUGCUUUUUGUUAUUCUCUUUCAUUGCAACAACAGAAACCAUAACAUAAACAUUAAUAUUUCUAAAUUUAGUUUUGAGAUAGGGUCUGACGUAGCCCAGUUUGGACUUGUUCUGCUAUGUGAUGGGUGAUGACCUUGGAUAGUUGCUUUCCUGUCUGCAACCCAGAGCUUCCUUUGUGCUCAGCAGGUGCUCCACCAAGAGCUGGUUUAUAUGCAAGAUUCUGCUAUUCUGUGUCUUCAGUUCCAAAAACUUUGACGAUUAUCAUUCAGUUUGUCAUGUGUGUAUGUGGUGAUUUGAACAUGAAUAAAUGAACGGCCACUU